GUCUUCCUAAGGAGAUAGAUACAGGAGCAGGGCUGGGGGCUGGAGGCUGAAGUUUCAAGGCCUGAAAGGUCUGUUAACCUUGACACUGACCUACUCUGCAAUUCCCUAUUCUCACACUCUCCCAGGACCGGUGGGCAGUAGGGGUCCCACCUCCCCAGCACCAGACUUCAGGAAUGUGUCACCUCUCAGGAAUGUGUCAUAAAUCCCACAGGCUGGACCCAGCUCCAGCACGCCCCAUCUCCACCAACAACAUGCAGUGACAUCACAUCCGUGUCCCCCUAUGGACCUGGGUGAAGGUAUCUUUGGGGCACAUUCCUAAGAGCGGAAUUGAUUGGUCAUAGAGUCUGAAUAAACAUCAUUUGAAGUCUUCUUUUCUCCAACCAUAGAAUGGGUGUAUUGCUCCCUCCCUUGUGGGGCUGACUUGACAGGAGAGGGUUAAUGCGUGUAAUCCACUCGGCCGCUUGCCUGACACAGAAGAGAUGCUCAGUGAAUGGCCGACGUGGCUGCUGUCCCCCCCAGGUCUCAGGGAGAGAGAGAGAAGCCAGACCCAGGAGGAUUGCACAGGAAUGCACCCAGGGCUCGAAGUCCCAGUUCAAGGGUUGGUCUCCAGAACACGGGAGAAGUGUGUGGGGCUGUGCUGAUCCCCAGAGGGUGAGGCCUGCUCUUGAGCGUGAGACCCUCCCCAGCCCAGCUCAGGGCCUGGUGCAGAGGAGAUGGCUGCGUCCAGGAAAGGGCUCGCUGCAUCCCAUGUCUCACCUCUCUCCCCAGAGCCGGAAGCAGCAUCCUCCUACCAGGAGGUGCCGGACAGCCUCGCCUGCUGUUCUGCCUCUGCUCUGCCAGCCAAUGAGCAUUUUAACCAGAUGGGAAACCACACUUGAGUAUUGGAUCCCACCAACCCAUUUUAUAGAUGGAGAGACUGAGGCUCAGGAAGUCUACCAUGGUCUCACUGGAGGUAAAUGGCACAAGCGGAAUCCACAGCUCCAGGUGCUCCCUCCAGUGCUCUUUAAAAAAAGAAAAUGCAGGGGCCGACCUGGUGGUGUAGCGGUUAGGUUGGCAUGCUCCACCCUGGCAGAUCCUGGGUGAGGACAUACACACUGCUGUCAAGCCAUGCUGUGGCAGCCAUCCCACAUAUAAAGUGGG